ACUCAGGAUAGCUCAGUCGGUAGAGAUGAGACUCUUAAUCUCAAGGUCCUGGGUUCGAGACCAAUGUUGGGCA